rnacentral:rRNA from 1 species
AACGAACGCUGGCGGCAGGCCUAACACAUGCAAGUCGAGCGUUAGAUGAGAUUUCGGUUUCAUCAAAAGCGGCGGACGGGUGAGUAACGCGUGGGAACGUAUCUUUUGGUAGGGGAUAGCCUCGGGAAACUGGGAAUAAUACCUUAUGAGCCCUUUUUGGGGAAAGAUUUAUCGCCGAAAGAGCGGCCCGCGUUAGAUUAGCUAGUUGGUGGGGUAAGAGCUUACCAAGGCGAUGAUCUAUAGCUGGUCUGAGAGGAUGGUCAGCCACACUGGGACUGAGACACGGCCCAGACUCCUACGGGAGGCAGCAGUGGGGAAUAUUGGACAAUGGGGGCAACCCUGAUCCAGCCAUGUCGCGUGCGUGAAGAAGGCCCUAGGGUUGUAAAGCGCUUUCAUCUGCGAGGAUGAUGACGAUAGCAGAAGAAGAAGCACCGGCUAACUUCG